CUGGAGCAGGCGCCGGGCGGGCUUUUGGCUCGCGGCGGCGGCUCGCUCUGCCUCGUGAUAUCACUGCCGGAGCUCAAAUCCCGCUUAGCGUUCCCAUCCUCACGCCGUCUGUCUACGCUGGCGGAGGUGGAAUCUUUCUGCAGCAGGCAGGCAGCUCCCUUGAGUAGGCGAGGUUGGAGGAGACAGGGACAGGGUCGAUGUGAAGACCAGUGUGAGGAACGGAACGAAGGAAGCAGGCCCAGUAUGAAAUUAGUCGCUGCUUAUUACGUGCUGCCUCUCUUUCCUGCUCUGGUCUUUGGCACUAGGUAUUAAUACAAGUGGUUUAUGGAAGUAAUGAAGUUCUAUGAAAGUAUGUUUGUGAGUUAGUUUAAGGCAGAAAAUACUUAGGGCUCUCACUGAAAGCUUAAACAACUUUACUCCUUGAAUUGCUGAAAUUAUGCCAGAAAAAAUUAUUCAUGUCCUUUGGUUGUUCUGGUACUUAAGAAGGACUGGAAGUGUUC
rnacentral:lncRNA from 1 species